rnacentral:tRNA from 1 species
GCGGGCGUAGUAUAGUGGUAAUACGCGAUCCUUCCAAGAUCGAGUUACGGGUUCGAUUCCCGUCGCCCGCU